ACCACCAGAUCCCAUAGCAACAAGCUGGUCACAGACUGCAUUGCAGCCAUGAACCCUGACAACGUGCUGCGAGUGGGAGGAGCAGGAAACAAGAUUAUCCAGCUGAUUGAAGGCAAAGCCUCUGCUUAUGUAUUUGCAAGUCCUGGAUGUAAGAAAUGGGAUACUUGUGCCCCAGAAGUUAUCUUACAUGCUGUAGGAGGUUUGUGGCUUUUGUAUUGUACUCAGACAUCAUUUCAGCACUU
rnacentral:lncRNA from 1 species